CCACCGUGUGGACAUACUGGUUGUCGCAGUCCACGAAAAGCAUCGUCGGGGAUGCCCACCCAAACGCAUUCCAUUCCCCCAAUUCCGUCGUGGCAUUCAGCCGGACAGCCGAGUCGCCUGACAGCGGCACCGUAUACACGCCCAUUCCGUGGCCAUGGUUUUCGUCCCCCAGCACCGAGACGUGGCUCGCGUCGGGGUACCAGUUCCAGUCGCGCAUGAUGCCGAGUCCCGCGAGGAACGUCUGCAGCACGGGUAGUGGCUGCUUGCCAUCCAGCCGUACCGUGUACAGCGGGGUGGGGUGCCCGCCCAGAUAGAGAUCGCUGGCAGCGAACAGGAUUCGCGAGCCAUCCGGCGCCCACCGCGGUCGCACGCCGAACGAGGUCAGCCGUCGCUCGGCUCCCCCGCCCGCCGGCACGGCGAACAGGCCGCCGCCCUCGCGAUCGGAGCGGAACACGAUCGUGUUGCCGUCCGGCGACCACGUCGGCUGCCGGUCGUGUGCCGGGGAUUUCGUGACCUGGCGAACGUCGCCCGUGUCGAUUGACUGCACCCAGAUAU
rnacentral:misc_RNA from 1 species